rnacentral:rRNA from 1 species
AGGAAAUAGAUACCCGGGUAGUCCCAGCCGUAAACGAUGCUCGCUAGGUGUCAGGCAUGGCGCGACCGUGUCUGGUGCCGCAGGGAAGCCGUGAAGCGAGCCACCUGGGAAGUACGGCCGCAAGGCUGAAACUUAAAGGAAUUGGCGGGGGAGCACAACAACGGGUGGAGCCUGCGGUUUAAUUGGACUCAACGCCGGACAACUCACCGGGGGCGACAGCAAUAUGUAGGCCAAGCUGAAGACUUUGCCUGAAUCGCUGAGAGGAGGUGCAUGGCCGUCGCCAGUUCGUACUGUGAAGCAUCCUGUUAAGUCAGGCAACGAGCGAGACCCGUGCCCACUGUUACCAGCAUGUCCUUUGGGAUGAUGGGUACUCUGUGGGGACCGCCGGUGUCAAAUCGGAGGAAGGUGCGGGCCACGGUAGGUCAGUAUGCCCCGAAUCUCCCGGGCUACACGCGGGCUACAAUGAAUGGGACAAUGGGUCCCUUCCCUGAAAAGGUUGGUAAUCUCACAAACCCAUCCUUAGUUCGGAUUGAGGGCUGUAACUC